UACUUCCUAAGGACCAUUAUUUUUGGUUUCAGGUCAACCCAGUUUAUUAGAUUACUUGCCGCAAACUUGUCAUCAGCUUAGAGAGAAUGUGCAACUUUCUUUGAACCCGGAGGCUUGGGCCCUCGCAGAAGAUGCUUGAGCACCAAGGUGGAACAACCACAAUCCAAACAAGAAUAGGUGUUGGAAGCAGCUUGGGGGCCUUCUGUCUGCCAACUAGGAACACCUACCUCAGGAAGUGGGGGAAAGGACACAGUGGUGUUAUGGGGGUAGGUCAAAAUGAAGAAAAUGUGGACCCACUAAAUCUGCCGCCCUCUCAGCCCCUGAUCCUGUCCCUAGGACAGGAUGAGAUUGAAGACCUGCAGGACAAAGCUAACUUCUUUCAUCCAUUGC